CUUUUGUCGGAACGAAACGGUUCUCUCUAAUACAGGGGGCUAAUGACGGUACCGUAAGAAUAAGCACCGGCUAACUACGUGCCAGCAGCCGCGGUAAUACGUAGGGUGCGAGCGUUAAUCGGAAUUACUGGGCGUAAAGCGUGCGCAGGCGGUGAUGUAAGACAGAUGUGAAAUCCCCGGGCUCAACCUGGGACCUGCAUUUGUGACUGCAUCGCUGGAGUGCGGCAGAGGGGGAUGGAAUUCCGCGUGUAGCAGUGAAAUGCGUAGAUAUGCGGAGGAACACCGAUGGCGAAGGCAAUCCCCUGGGCCUGCACUGACGCUCAUGCACGAAAGCGUGGGGAGCAAACAGGAUUAGAUACCCUGGUAGUCC
rnacentral:rRNA from 1 species